UCCUUUAUCCCCCACCUCAGGAGGAGGAGCUGCUGCUACAGGGAGGAAUAUGCUGGCAAUCUACCUUUGGAAAGUCCUUGACCAAUUGUUUUGGUAAAUGGACAAGUGUAGCAGCCCCAGCCUCAGGCAGGUAUAGUGCCCAGGAUUUCAUGCCAGUGAUGACCCAUCUAGAAGAGCAGAGGUGAUAUCUGAGGACUAUCAAUUUAUGGCAAUGGAUUGGUCAAGGUAGGAUAAAGAAACUUGGAAAGAACUAUCAUGAUACCUGCCCUGAGAAGCCGAAAUUUGGUUUAACUUUGUGUUGUUUACUGUUUGGUUCUAGAAAAACUAAGUUUAUAAAAUAUUGUAUGACAGGUGAAUUUAAAUAUUACUAACCAUCUUGGAUGUCCUGCUCUUCUGCUCUACAGCAAUAACAUCUCUCUAAAUGC
rnacentral:lncRNA from 1 species